rnacentral:rRNA from 1 species
CUACGGGACGCUGCAGUGGGGAAUAUUGCACAAUGGACGAAAGUCUGAUGCAGCAACGCCGCGUGGAGGAUGACACAUUUCGGUGCGUAAACUCCUUUUAUAUGAGAAGAUAAUGACGGUAUCAUAUGAAUAAGCACCGGCUAACUCCGUGCCAGCAGCCGCGGUAAUACGGGGGGUGCAAGCGUUACUCGGAAUCACUGGGCGUAAAGAGCAUGUAGGUGGAUUAAUAAGUUGGAAGUGAAAUCCUAUAGCUUAACUAUAGAACUGCUUCCAAAACUGUUGAUCUAGAAUGUGGGAGAGGUAGAUGGAAUUUCUGGUGUAGGGGUAAAAUCCGUAGAGAUCAGAAGGAAUACCGAUUGCGAAGGCGAUCUACUGGAACACUAUUGACACUCAGAUGCGAAAGCGUGGGGAGCAAACAGGAUUAGAUACCCUCGUAGUC